AAAUAUAGAAGAUGCUUACCUUUUUUUUUUCCUUAAAAAAACAAAAAUUAGAUUUGAGCAUCGUUCGUCCCUCCCUCUCUACACCUUCAAACCCUAAAAUCUCUUCUCUCCCUUUAUCCAUCUCCAAAUUCGCCUCUCACAAUCCAAAUUAUUCAUUGUUCUUCUCCUUCUGCUCUUCCUUUCCCUCUUCUUUCACUCUCCCUCUCACCCUCUCAAUCUAAUGUCAAUACCAUUGUUGGAUAAUGAAAAUCUCCAGAUCGAGAAGAGAAGCUGGUGUCGGUCGGAGAAGGUGUGUUGGUUUUGUCUCUCUUUCCCCUUUGAAUCUGCGUUUGGGAUUAGGGUUUCGUUUCGUGGUCUGGUUUGUAAUGACCUUAAUCUUCGAAUUCGUUUGAUUUCCCUCGAGGAAGCCUUCAUCAUUGUCGAAGCUUUGAAUCGAUUUUUUUUUUGUUAGUAUCUUUUAUUGUUUCUUCCAUCAAUUCCAUCAGCGACUAGUCAUUCAAGUCAGAUUAGAAAAUGGGGUUUCUCGGACUUAGUUCAUUGGGACUUUAUAUCAAUCAAGACUUGUUUUUGUUGUUGUUUGGAUUUUAGGGAAUGGGAAGCUUGUAAGAUUUGCGAAGUGUCUGUGAUUGUAAAAGCUUAAAUUCAGCUUCUCAUUUUGACAUAAGGUGAUUCUUAAUUUUUGGAUGAUGAGACCACUAAGAAUUUUACCUUUCAGGUUGUUGAUCAUUACGGUUAGAGAACAACAAACCAAACAUUGAAAGAGCAAGAAGCUAGUCCCAUCAUGAAAAAAUCUAUGUAGCUUCUGGAAAGCAUGGGGGUAAAGGUCUUAAAGAGAAAUAAAGAUAAUUAGAGAUUUUGUCUUUUCUUUGUCAUGAAUUGAUUCUGUUCGUUGUUGACUUUUUCUUUGAUUGAUUGGUUUCUCUGUUUACUAAAUCUAUAUAUAGCUUUUUUUGUCUAGGUUCUUCAAGAUCCAGAAGCCCAAAAGAGAAGUGUUUCGUAUGGGUGACACCUACCAUAGCUGCUGAUGUCAUAGCAUUUGUGAAUUCGCUAUGUUAUACGUAUGAUAGCAUAUUUUUCGCGCUAACGAUGAACAUAUUUCUUGUAGUAUGUGUUACAAACUCACCAUGGUUUAUUUAUAGGCAUACACAUAAUACAUAAGUGUAUAUAUAGAUGCAAUCAUGCAUGGUGGUGAUUGGUGAAUAUAUGAUAUAGUUU
rnacentral:lncRNA from 1 species